CAAGCGUGGAGCAUGUGGUUUAAUUCGAAGCAACGCGAAGAACCUUACCUAGACUUGACAUCUCCUGAAUUACCCGUAACUGGGGAAGCUCUUCGGAGCAGGAAGACAGGUGGUGCAUGGUUGUCGUCAGCUCGUGUCGUGAGAUGUUGGGUUAAGUCCCGCAACGAGCGCAACCCUUAUCGUUAGUUGCUACCAUUAAGUUGAGCACUCUAGCGAGACUGCCCGGGUUAACCGGGAGGAAGGUGGGGAUGACGUCAAAUCAUCAUGCCCCUUAUGUCUAGGGCUACACACGUGCUACAAUGGUGAGGACAAAGAGACGCAAGACCGCGAGGUGGAGCAAAUCUCACAAACCUCAUCCCAGUUCGGAUUGCAGGCUGAAACUCGCCUGCAUGAAGCCGGAGUUGCUAGUAAUCGCGAAUCAGCAUGUCGCGGUGAAUACGUUCCCGGGCCUU
rnacentral:rRNA from 1 species